CUCUUUAUCCCUACCACUUCUUCCCGCCUUUUGCUGCCUAAUGGCAGGGCGAGAAGAGAAUUUUGAAAUCUUUCUGUGUCCGAAAAGAAAACUUAUAGGCCUAUUAUAUCCACCUGUGUAGUAUGGAUCAAGCAACAACAUGAGUCAGUGGAGUGUUUUUUCCCAUUCUGAAACCAAACAUCUUGCACAGCUCCAGGCUCAACCAGGGGCUCAACAUGUGCUGAAGAACACCAGGUCUGUUGUGAUCAUACAAUAUGAAAUUUGCCCAUAUCUGCUCAGCAGACCAGACUAGUUUCAGCUGCAAAAAGAAUUCUGAAUUAAUGAGGUAUUGUUAAUAUAAAUUUGAUUCCAAACCUGAUUGGUAUUUUGUUAGAAACCCACUUGCAAAGUUCAUCCUUGCACGGAAUUUGAUGGAAAAGUGAUAUUUCAAAGUUUAUCAUUUCUGACUAUCAUGAUGAAGUGUAAUAUUCAAGUUCAAAAAUGCUUAAAAGAACAUAUCCUUUUUGCAAGGUAUACAGGAUUUUGGUUGAGAUGUUUAAUGUGGUCAAUAUAGUGAUUUAUAUAAACAAUACCAUUUUAAUUUGGAUGAUGAAUCCUCUUGGAAAGGAGCUAUUGGCAUUGGCAGUAGUAUGUGACAGUAUUCACAAGGGUUUUCAGAUUUUUUAAGAUGACCUUGCGAAGUGAGAAAUAUAGGCUAGUUUUUUCAAAGGCCAGAAUCCUGGAAUUGUAGAUUGAUUCGUGAUAUGGCCUUGAAGAUAGAGAUUGUCUUUUUUGCCUAUUUUUCCUAUUUUUAGCUAUGAGAUGCUAAAAGUUCAAAUAAAAAAAUAUCCUAAUUUAAA